UCAAGUUGUAAGCCAAUCAGGAGAUACCUACUGACCACCUAUUUAAAGGCACUUCUUGCUCAAACCGUCCUUGUUUGCUUCUGACCAUAAUGCAGUCUAGUAGUUUUGUGAGUUGCAGUGAUUUGUUAAUUUUAAAGUAAAUUUUUUUUAGUGUUUGUUCCCCCUUUUAAGGGGGAACAAUGGAGGACUACUUCGUUUAGUCUGGUUGGUUUGCCUUUUCACUGGAAUACUCCUAGUCUGCCCACUGAUCCAGGAAUUUGUUUUGAACAAGAUCGACGACCGGGCUCUAGGCUACAUCGAGCGGGUGGCACUGGGCGCCGUCUUUGCCAUCUCGUAUUAUAAAAAAGAAGCCAUAGAUAACCGCUGCAGUUUGAUCAUCAGAGUUACCGGUCGGCGGUUCAGCUCGAUCUUCCGGAGAACGAUUUAGCUACCCGUACUCAGCCUGCUCAAAGGUCAGAAUGCUGGAAAGUUUGGGGGGAAAAGAUUUAAAACAUUGUAUAAACACAAUGAUGAGAAGGAUUGCAGCAGACGAGGUGGCAAUGAAUAUUUCAUACACAGGAAAAUCUGUUGGAAAAGUGCACAAAAUGACUUUUUCUAAAUAUUUAGUGUGCAAGUGUGUGCAUGGCAAGUGUUAUACUAACACCACAGAUUUGUUAAUUAAAGAGAAAAACUAAACACAAUUGUUUUAAAAAUAAAAAUACACGAUUGAGAUUUGCCAUGAAGGUAAAACUAUAUCGAACUGAAGGGUGGUGAUUGGUUUGGUAAAUAAUUAAUACACUCGUAGUUAGGUUUGCUGUUACAGGAAGCGAGUUUUUUAUUCUCUCCAUAAACCAUUUAGCAUACAAUAAUGCUUAAAAAUGCGCACUAUUAGCUCUACAGUUUGGAAAGGAAAAAAUUUUAACCCCAAUAAAUCUCCUCAUAACCCAUAGUCCAAUCAUGCUGGUUCGCGAACUUCUUUGAAAGAAAUGUAGUUUAACACGUUUAUACAAAAUUUCAUUAACAUUGGAUAAUUUUUGUUUGAGUUGUCAUGCUAAAGACACACGCACACGUACAUACAUACACACACAAUAUAUGGGUUUUUGGUCUUUGGGAACCUUUAAACAAAACAGGAAAUCGGCCCUGCGUCCAGGCCUUAUCAUGAGACCUACGGUAAUAGCUUAUUAUUCCCUGCAUAGGAAAUUUGUUAAAACACGAUUAUGGUUAUAAUCAUAUAUAAUUUUUUUUUAAUAUGAUAUAAAUUUUAACAGACAGUGUUUUUGGCCUAUGGUAAUAGCU